rnacentral:SRP_RNA from 1 species
GCCGGUGGCACGUGCCUGUAGUCCCAGUUACUCGGGAGGCUGAGGUGGGAGGAUUGCUUGAGCCCAGGAGUUCUGGGCUGUAGUGUGUUAUGCCAAUUGGGUGUCUACACUAAGUUCGGCAUCAAUAUGGUGACCUCCCAGGAGCCGGGGACCACCAGGUUGCCUAAGGAGGGAUGAACCAGCCCAGGUCGGAAACGGAGCAGGUCCAAACUCCUGUGCUGAUCAGCAGUGGGAUUGUUCCUGUGAAUAGCCACUGCACUCCAGCCUGGGCAACAGAGCGAGACUCCGUCUCU